rnacentral:rRNA from 1 species
CAGUAAGCGGAGGAAAAGAAACUAUCCAGGAUUCUCCUAGUAACGGCGAGUGAACGGAGAUUAGCCCAUCACCGAAGUCUAUUCACUCUUGUGAACAAGACAAUGUGGUGUUCGGGCGUGCACUUUGGGAAUGCUUGCCUACUCGAAGUCCAACUCCGAUUAUGGCUAGGACCAUGCCCACAGCGGGUGAAAGGCCCGUGCGGGUAGGUUGUGAAGCAUUAUGAAGCGUUCCUCAAAUGUGCAUGCUCUCGAGUCGGAUUGCUUGAGAAUGCAGUCCAAAGUGGGUGGUAAACUCCAUCCAAGGCUAAAUACUGGCACGAGUCCGAUAGUAGACAAGUACCGUGAGGGAAAGUUGAAAAGUACUCUGAAGAGAGAGUAAAUAGUACGUGAAGCCGCUUGCAGGGAAGCUGGUGGAGUCAAGCUUCAUGCCUGUGAAUUUGUUGUCAGGACGUGUUGUUGAUUGAAUGGAGUCUGGUGCUGGUGAGCCUGGAAAUGGUUUGUCGCAUUUAACCGUGCGAUUCAAGUCAUACUGGGUUGUGUGUUUGAACUGGUACCAUGUGCUUCUCCCGUUCCUGAUACUGAAUUUCACAAUAUGGCAUACAUCACGAUGGAUGAGAUGUGUAAUGUGUGAUUGUUUAACCGCGCUUUGGCCAACACCGUUGUCGGCCGGGCGUGGAACGGCAGGUGGCAUGUGCGGGCCCUGUUGCUUGUAUCUUGCUUAUUGUGGAUUUUGAUCUGCCAACAGUCAUGUGUACAUUAUCAGCCUUAUCCUGACCAUAUGGAUGCGCACUCCUCGGAGCCGCGUCCAGUGAGAAUCGUGAUGCUGAGGUAGACUUCCACCCGACC